GCUCUCACUACAGUCUUGAAAAAAAAAAAGAUGCAUAAUCCAAGUAGAAAAACGUCAAAACACAUAAAUCUCAACUUACUAGCAUUGACCUUUCACCUAAUCUUCUUAAUACCCACCGUUCAUUCACGAUCCACCCAGCGUCUAGCCGAACCCAAUAACAUCACUGAGCUCAUCGUCGCUACUUUAAACCAAACUAUCUUAAACGUCAAUGUCUCUUACACUACCUUCUACAACCUCCAAAAACGUCUUGGUCCAAACAUAGCUCGCCGUUACCGCUGCGCAUUCGAAGACUGUCUCGGUCUACUCGAUGACACUAUCUUCGAUCUUGAAACUGCAAUCUCCAAGCUCCAAACUUCUUCUCUUGGGGCCCACGAUGUCAAUAUGUUGCUCAGCGACGCCAUGACGAACCAAGACACGUGUCUCGAGGGUUUCAAGACAAGUGGAAUUCAUGAAAAAAAUAGUGAUAACACGUAUAAUUGACUGAUAGCUUGAAGGAUAGCAUCUUAAAGAUCUCUAGCAACCUCAGUACUCUCUCUGGGCAUGCUUCAGAAGAUUCCAGGACAUGAACUCUCCCCGGAAGCGUAUGAGGUUGACGUUGAGUUCCCGAGUUGGGUCUUAGAGAAUGACAAGAGACGCCUUCACGCUCCGGUGGAAAAAACUAAGUUUAAUCUCAUGGUGGCUCAAGAUGGUACCGGAAACUUCACUACCAUCAACGAUGCGGUCUCGGCCGCUCCUACCUCGAGUGUAACAAGGUUUAUGAUAUAUAUAAAACGUGGGGUAUACUUUGAGAACGUUGAGAUACCGAAGAAUAAGACAAUAAUAAUGUUUGUGGGAGACGGUAUCGGAAGAACAGUCAUAAAAGCAAACCGCAGGAAGGGUAACUUGGGAACAUUUCAAACUGCUACCGUAGGCGUGAAAGGUGAAGGGUUCAUAGCUAAGGAUAUAUCAUUCGUGAAUUUUGCUGGACCGUCACCACAAGCCGUGGCAUUGCGAAGCGGCUCUGACCACUCUGCUUUCUACCGUUGCUCGUUCGAAGGCUACCAAGACACUCUUUAUGUCUAUUCAGGCAAACAGUUCUACAGAGAAUGUGAUAUAUAUGGUACGGUCGAUUUCAUAUGUGGUAACGCGGCUGCUGUGUUCCAAAACUGUAGUCUUUUUGCUCGUAAACCAAAUCCUGGGCAGAAAAUCGUAUACACCGCUCAAAGUCGCACUUGUCCGAACCAGUCUACUGGUAUCUCUAUGAUUAACUGUAGAUUCUUGGCCGCUCCUGAUUUGAUCCCUGUAAAAGGAAGCUUCGAGGCGUACUUAGGUCGACCGUGGAAAAACUUCUCUAGGACUAUCAUCAUGAAAUCGUUUAUUGACGAUCUGGUUGUUCCUGCCGGAUGGUUGGAGUGGAACGGAAAUUUUGCUCUUGAAACCCUACAUUAUGGAGAGUACAUGAAUGAAGGACCUGGAUCAAACAUUACAAACCGGGUCAAAUGGCCUGGCUAUAGACCCAUACUAAACGAAACGGAAGCAACCCAAUUCACAGUCGGUCCAUUUAUUGAUGGUGGGACGUGGCUUAAUUCAACCGGCAUCCCAUUUAAUACCGGUUUGUAAUCACAGAUUUGAUUGUAAACAUGAGAUCAAGUCACUUUAGACUUGUACCUAAAAAUUAAUAUGAUCAACAUUCUAUAA